rnacentral:sRNA from 1 species
AUCGCGGUAAAGGCCAUGGAGGACUCAGGCGAAGAAGAAACAAGAACCUGCAACAAAAACUAAUCAACCAAAUCCUAGAUCUAAAAAGAAAAAAGACAGAUAAAGAAUAAAAAAAUGAAACCAAUCCACAGAUCUCUCCACACAAGAAAACCAAACUAGAUAACUAAACAAUAUCUGAAAAAACCGACCAACGCCGUGCCCAUGGUGGCCCACACGCGUCGGUCGGAGACGAGGCACAAAACCUGCGGCAAGUUGAAGAAAGAAGGAAAAGAGAAUUAUUAAGAAAGAGAAAAAAAUCAAAAAAAAAAAAGAACAAUGACCUUUUUUUAUCUUACU